rnacentral:pre_miRNA from 1 species
UUCGACGUUUGGCCAUUUAUCCUAUUUGAAUAUUUUUAUGAUUAAUAUUUUUAUUGUUACUAGAUGAUAAAAUAUAAAUAAUACUUUAUACGUGACUAAUUUUUUUAAAUUUUUGUACAAAAUUUUUAAAUAAGAUGAAUGAUCAAACAUUGGACACGGAAAAACA